rnacentral:rRNA from 1 species
GACGAACGCUGGCGGCGUGCCUAAUACAUGCAAGUCGAGCGGACCGGAUUGGGGCUUGCCUUGAUUCGGUCAGCGGCGGACGGGUGAGUAACACGUGGGCAACCUGCCCGCAAGACCGGGAUAACUCCGGGAAACCGGGGCUAAUACCGGAUAACACCGAAGACCGCAUGGUCUUCGGUUGAAAGGCGGCCUUUGGGCUGUCACUUGCGGAUGGGCCCGCGGCGCAUUAGCUAGUUGGUGAGGUAACGGCUCACCAAGGCGACGAUGCGUAGCCGGCCUGAGAGGGUGACCGGCCACACUGGGACUGAGACACGGCCCAGACUCCUACGGGAGGCAGCAGUAGGGAAUCUUCCGCAAUGGGCGAAAGCCUGACGGAGCGACGCCGCGUGAGCGAAGAAGGCCUUCGGGUCGUAAAGCUCUGUUGUGAGGGACGAAGGAGCGUCGUUCGAAGAGGGCGGCGCGGUGACGGUACCUCACGAGAAAGCCCCGGCUAACUACGUG